rnacentral:lncRNA from 1 species
GCAGGUCCAAACCACUGGUAGCAGCCCCUGGUAUAUCCAGGACAUCAGCACAUAGAACCAGUGAAAGGGUCCUCCCUCAUAGUGACGCAUGUCAUAGACUCAGAUUUAUACAAACAAAUGCUGAGCAAACCAUGAAGAGUCUCUGGUAUUUUCAACAAUAUCAUCACAGAGGAACUGUAUUGAUUUCCUUGAAUUCUUGACCAAGACUACAAAUGUAGCCCAUUUGACAUCGAAAACAUUGGGACAGGUGUGAGAGUGAGGAAAAUGGGGAGAAAAAAGAACUUUGAAGACAAGGAUUUGAAGUUAGCAUGAAGCAUGGAAAGGAGGAAGGGCAAGCUUUCUGCAGUGAGGACAGUGCCUGCCAGAGAAAACCAGAUCCUGGGGAGGGGUUUCUCCAGAAAGAGAAAGUCAAAGCUGCAGGUAGGCUCUGGAGACAAGGAGCUCGCAUGCAGUGAAGGUGGCGGCCACAUUGAGAAAUCACUCCAGGCUGAAGGACAUGCACCAAAGGCGGGAGGGGUGGCACCAUGGACAGAGCUUCGGAUGGGUGCAGGUGGGGCUAAGAAGGCAGCAUGGGGCAGAUGCUGCAAGUAUGGAAGCCAGGACACGAGCUUCCUUCCAACCACCAAAGGGCAACUCACAAGCAAAAUUCUUUCCUAAUGCUUCACCACGUUUUUUUUCUUUUUUAGACAGAUCUCACUCUGUUGCCCAGGCUGGAGUGCAGUAGUGCAGUCACAGCUCACUGCAGCCUCAAACUCCUGGGCUGAAAGGAUCCUGGCACCUCAGCCUCCUGAGUAGCUGGGACUACAGGUGUGCGCCAUCAUACCCAGCUAAUUUUUUUAUUUUUUGCAGAUACGGGGUCUCCCUAUGUUGCUUAGGCUGGUCUUGAGCUCCUAGCCUCAAGUCAUUCUCUUACCUUGGCCUCCCAAAGUGCUGGGAUUACAGGUGUGAGCCAUGGUGCCUGGCGACCUCACCAUUUUUGCUGACUGAAUCACUUGACUAACCUAACUAUAGCUUGCUGCUGAAGAUGCUGGCAACCUAGUAGACAAUACGUCAAGAUGUGAGGAUGCUCCAUAGUAAUGUAAUACCUUCCAUUCAACCAAGGUUAAAAGUGUCAACUAAAUGCUAAUGUCUCCACCAACCACAGAUGGGGUUUGCAGGAGCAAUGGCUGUAGGGACACUAAGAUUUCACCCUCCAGAAGACAGCAUCUUCCUGUGCCAUGGCUAGAUCACCAGCUACCCACAGACAGCCUGAACUCCAAUUGUCUUCCUGCACAUGUGCCUUUAAAGGUUUUACUGGCAU